AGGACGAACGCUGGCGGCGUGCCUAACACAUGCAAGUCGAGCGAAGCUGCUCUUAAACUUCGGUUUUGGGGUAGACUUAGCGGCGAACGGGUGAGUAACCCGUGGGUAAUCUACCUGGAAGCCUGGGAUAACAGUUCGAAAGGGCUGCUAAUACCGGAUGAUACCAUUACUGUAAGGUGAUGGUCAAAGCGUUAUGUAGUGCUUUCAGAUGAGCCCGCGUCCCAUUAGCUAGUUGGCAGGGUAAGGGCCUACCAAGGCGACGAUGGGUAGCCGGUCUGAGAGGAUGGUCGGCCACACUGGGACUGAGACACGGCCCAGACUCCUACGGGAGGCAGCAGUGGGGAAUUUUGCGCAAUGGGGGCAACCCUGACGCAGCGACGCCGCGUGAGUGAAGAAGGCCUUCGGGUUGUAAAGCUCUGUCUAGGGGGAAGAUAGUGACGGUACCCCUGGAGGAAGCCCCGGCUAACUACGUGCCAGCAGCCGCGGU
rnacentral:rRNA from 1 species